AACGUACGCUGGCGGCACGCCUAACACAUGCAAGUCGAACGCAGUAGCAAUACUGAGUGGCAGACGGGUGAGUAACAUGUGGGAAUCUGCCUUGUGGUUCAGAACAACAUUGGGAAACCGAUGCUAAUACUGGAUAAGCCCUUACGGGGAAAGUUUUAAUGCCAUAAGAUGAGCCCGCAUUUGAUUAGUUAGUUGGUGAGGUAAUGGCUCACCAAGACAAUGAUCAAUAGCUGAUCUGAGAGGAUGAUCAGCCACACUGGGACAGAGACACGGCCCAGACUCCUACGGGAGGCAGCAGUGGGGAAUCUUGCACAAUGGAGGAAACUCUGAUGCAGCGAUGCCGCGUGAGUGAAGAAGGCCUUUGGGUUGUAAAGCUCUUUUGUAGGGGAAGAUAAUGACUGUACCCUAAGAAUAAGGUCCGGCUAACUUCGUGCCAGCAGCCGCCGUAA
rnacentral:rRNA from 1 species